rnacentral:SRP_RNA from 1 species
UCCAUGAAGCCGGGUCCCAGCUACUUGGGAGACUGAGGUGGGAGGAUCGCUUGAGCCCAGGAGUUCUGGGCUGCAGUGCGCUAUGCUGAUCGGGUGUCCGCACUAAGUUCGGCAUCAAUAUGGUGACCUCCCGGGAGAGGGGGACCACCAGGUUGCCUAAGGAGGGGUGAACCAGCCAAGGUCGGAAACAGAGCAGGUCAAAACUCCCGUGCUGAUCAGCAGUGGGAUUGUGCCUGUGAAUAGCCACUACACUCCAGCCUGGGCAACAUAGCGAGACCCUGUCUCA